rnacentral:rRNA from 1 species
CACGUAGGGCGCAAGCGUUGUCCGGAAUUAUUGGGCGUAAAGAGCUCGUAGGUGGUUUGUUACGUCCGCUGUGAAAUCCUAGGGCUUAACCCUGGGCUUGCAGUGGAUACGGGCAGACUAGAGGUAGGUAGGGGAGAUGGAAUUCCUGGUGUAGCGGUGAAAUGCGCAGAUAUCAGGAGGAACACCGGUGGCGAAGGCGGUUCUCUGGGCCUUACCUGACACUGAGGAGCGAAAGCGUGGGGAGCGAACAGG